UACGUAGGGUGCAAGCGUUGUUCGGAAUCAUUGGGCGUAAAGCGCGUGUAGGCUGUUAAUUAAGUCGGGUGUGAAAUCCCUGGGCUCAACCGAGGAAGUGCAUCCGAAACUAAUUAGCUAGAGAAUGGUAGAGGAAGGUGGAAUUCCUAGUGUAGAGGUGAAAUUCGUAGAUAUUAGGAGGAAUACCGGUGGCGAAGGCGGCCUUCUGGACCAUUUCUGACGCUGAGACGCGAAAGCGUGGGGAGCAAACAGG
rnacentral:rRNA from 1 species